rnacentral:rRNA from 1 species
GCUACCUAUUUGACGUUACCUACAGAAGAAGCACCGGCUAACUCCGUGCCAGCAGCCGCGGUAAUACGGAGGGUGCGAGCGUUAAUCGGAAUUACUGGGCGUAAAGCGCAUGCAGGCGGCCUGUUAAGUCAGAUGUGAAAGCCCGGGGCUUAACCUCGGAAUUGCAUUUGAAACUGGCAGGCUAGAGUCUUGUAGAGGGGGUAGAAUUUCAGGUGUAGCGGUGAAAUGCGUAGAGAUCUGAAGGAAUACCAGUGGCGAAGGCGGCCCCCUGGACAAAGACUGACGCUCAGACUGCGAAAGCGUGGGGAGCCAAACAGGAUUAGAUACCCCUGGUAG